rnacentral:lncRNA from 1 species
CUUUAGAGUAGUGAGAAACGUGCGUUUGCGGUCGAUAAUAUAUAUUGCCUAAGAUUAUAUAUUAUAAAAUUAAAUUAAUUUUUGAAAAUGCUUUGAACAGAAGAAGAAAAAAAAAUUCAACAAAUAUGGAUGAUAGAGAGUUAGCAAUGGUUCCAUUAGAUUCUGAUGCAAGAAUUCUAAAUUGGUGCAAUUUGUUUCAAUUGAGUAAUUGGUCCUGAAUUGAUAUUGGGAAAACCAACAUUUUUAAAACCUUUUGAAGAACCACCAAAUAUAAUCAAAUCACCUUCACCUAUAAAUACGAUAAUAUGUUAAUUAGAUUUUGCAUAUUUUUGUAUAAAAUAAUUAUCCCUUUAAAACCUCUCAAUAAUAAUAAUCUAAAGAGAGAAACAAAAUCACGGACCAAGGUUAUGUUUAUUCAAUGUACGGAAAUUAGGGGACAUCAACUAUAUGAUUUAAAUGUAUAAAACCAAACUUCAAAAUAUGUGACUAUUAUUAUGAGACAAAUAUAAACUGUUUUAUAUUUA